CCUACGGGUGGCAGCAGUGGGGGAUAUUGCACAAUGGGGGGAACUCUGAUGCAGCGACGCCGCGUGGGUGAAGAAGCGCCUCGGCGCGUAAAGCCCUGUCAGCAGGGAAGAAAAUGACGGUACCUGAAGAAGAAGCCCAGGCUAACUACGUGCCAGCAGCCGCGGUAAGACGGAGGGGGCAAGGGUUAUCCGGAUUUACUGGGUGUAAAGGGGGCGCAGACGGUGAUGCAAGUCAGUGGUGAAAGCCCGGGGCCCAACCACGGGACUGCUUUUGGAACUGCGUGGCUGGAGUGCAGUAGGGGCAGGCGGAAUUCCUGGUGUAGCGGUGAAAUGCGUAGAGAUCAGAAGGAACACCGGUGGCGAAGGCAGCCUGCUGGACUACAACUGACGUUGAGGCCCGAAAGCGUGGGGAGCAAACAGGAUUAGAUACCCGUGUAGUC
rnacentral:rRNA from 1 species